UACGUAGGCAGCGAGCGUUGUUCGGAAUUACUGGGCGUAAAGAGUGUGUAGGCGGUUAUCCAAGUCGGGUGUGAAAGCCUUGAGCUCAACUCAAGAAAUGCACUCGGUACUGGGUGACUAGAGGACCGGAGAGGAUAGUGGAAUUCCCAGUGUAGUGGUGAAAUACGUAGAGAUUGGGAAGAACACCAGUGGCGAAGGCGGCUAUCUGGACGGUUUCUGACGCUAAGACGCGAAAGCGUGGGGAGCAAACAGG
rnacentral:rRNA from 1 species